UCCCUUUCCCUGCAGGUCUGUGCCAGGAGUAAAUAACCCUCCUGAUUUAGGAGACUGGACACCAUCUUCUAGAAAGAAGCUCACAAGACCAGGGCGGGUGUGACUCAGCCAUGGUGUUCUUGACACCCAGAGAUCCGAGCACACGACUCUGAGUCAUCCAGCUGCGCUGAGUCACGGCCACCCCUCCGGAAGCAGUUCUCAGGAUAGCAUGUCCGGCAGAGAGAAAACCUGUCCACGUCGUCAGUAAAGGCGACAGAGGCGAGAGUAAGGCUCCACUCUCGAGUGCUGAUGUCUGAUGGAAAGAGGUCGGAUGCCCGAGCUAGUAUUCCUUCUUGUGACCCGCGCUUCUGGCAUAAUGAUGGUGACAGCUGACACUUACUGUCCAGCCCCCAGCUCACCGAAGCCCAGGAGGCAGGCGUUGUCAUCAUGCUCCUUUCCAGUGGCUGCAGAGGCUCUGGGAGCUCAGUUGACAUCAGCGCAGCCUGUUCCGUUCAGCAGCGUGAGAGCUCAGCUUCCGCGGGCCUGACUCACACUAGGUGCUCCUCUCACUCGCCUUCUCUGCUCCCACUCUGCUUGGUACUGUUAGGGCUACUGCUAUGUUUAAGCACACUGUUUCAACAGCAAGGCAGCACCACACGCCUGUUAGGAAGCCCAAGUCCAGAGUCCCGUCGGCAGCACGUUUUGAGAAGGGUGUAAUGCAAUAGGAACUCUCGCAAAUGGUGCAGCCACUUCAGAAGACAGCUGGAUGGUUUCUUACACAGUAAACAUGCUCUUACCACACAGUCCAAUACUCACGUUCCCUGAUACCCAAGGAAAAGAGAUUCUGAGAAGAGAUGUUCACACAAGAACCUGCACGCAGAUGUUUAUUGCGGUUUUAUCCAUAACUUCAGAACUUGGAUGCAACCAAGACGUCCUUCGGAGGGUGAACAGGUAAAAAUAAACUCAUGUGUCCAGACACAAUAAUGGAAUAUUAUUCAAUGCUAAUAAUAAAGAAAUCUGAGCUCCAAAUAACUG